GAUGAACGCUGGCGGCGUGCCUAAUACAUGCAAGUCGAGCGAACAGACGAGGAGCUUGCUCCUCUGACGUUAGCGGCGGACGGGUGAGUAACACGUGGAUAACCUACCUAUAAGACUGGGAUAACUUCGGGAAACCGGAGCUAAUACCGGAUAAUAUAUUGAACCGCAUGGUUCAAUAGUUAAAGACGGUUUUGCUGUCACUUAUAGAUGGAUCCGCGCCGCAUUAGCUAGUUGGUAAGGUAACGGCUUACCAAGGCAACGAUGCGUAGCCGACCUGAGAGGGUGAUCAGCCACACUGCAACUGAGACACGGUCCAGACUCCUACGGGAGGCAGCAGUAGGGAAUCUUCCGCAAUGGGCGAAAGCUUGACGGAGCAACGCCGCGUGAGUGAUGAAGGUCUUCGGAUCGUAAAACUCUGUUAUUAGGGAAGAACAAAUGUGUAAGUAACUAUGCACGUCUUGACGGUACCUAAUCAGAAAGCCACGGCUAACUACGUG
rnacentral:rRNA from 1 species